AGGAUAACAGAAAUAAUACAUUCUCUGAGAAAUGAGUUGUACGUCCAACCAUAUCAUCAAGUAGAUUGGAAUAACACACGAAAUACCAUUGCAAAGGAGGAUUUGUACUUCCCACACCCUUUAGUACAGGAUAUGCUACGGGGAUUCCUCUAUCAUUGUGUUGAACCUAUCAUGACGCAAUGGCCAUUUUCUAUAAUAAGGAAAACGGCUUUAGAAAAGGCAAUGGAACAUGUGCAUUAUGAGGAUGAAAACAGCAGGUAUAUUUGCAUCGGAGUCGUAGAGAAGGUGCUAUAGUGGAUCAUAUUGUUUUGGAAAAUUACAAUUCAAGGACCAAUCAUAAUCACAAGAAUGGUGGAUUUCCUGUAUGGGAGCCGGAGAAAGCAUGCCGUUGGAUGGAG